CCACAACAAAGGGCAAAGCACCGCCCCGCCUUAGGCGCAGGCGUAGCAAGGGCAAGCUAUCAUCUUGGGAAGAGGGGCGGGAGCCCGGGGGAAAGCCAGGAAGGAGGUCUGGAUGCCAGGGACUCAGGAGUCCAGGAAUAUUCCACGAUGGGCUGGGCAAUAUACCUACCUUGGAUGUCACAAUCUGGCCAGGGAGAGAGGCCAUCACAAUAUGAGCUGCUCUAACCAACCAAGGCCCAGGCUCCCAGCUCCACACCUGUGAUCAGCUCCUUGAUCAGGCCUUUUGGGAUGAAAGCUCCAAGACUGAAAAAUAAAAAGGAAUUACUGUGUAAUUAAA
ensembl:lncRNA LOC103693122 uncharacterized LOC103693122